GUCUACGGCCAUACCACCCUGAACGCGCCCGAUCUCGUCUGAUCUCGGAAGCUAAGCAGGGUCGGGCCUGGUUAGUACUUGGAUGGGAGAAAUAUUUUGGGGCUUUAGGGA
rnacentral:rRNA from 1 species